GACGAACGCUGGCGGCGUGCUUAACACAUGCAAGUCGAACGGUGAAGCGCCUUCCUUUUUGGUGGGUGUGGAUGAGUGGCGAACGGGUGAGUAACACGUGAGUAACCUGCCCCCUUCUUCUGGAUAACCGCAUGAAAGUGUGGCUAAUACGGGAUAUUCUGGGUCUGUCGCAUGAUGGGUCUGGGAAAGAUAUUGUUUCGGUGGGGGAUGGGCUCGCGGCCUAUCAGCUUGUUGGUGGGGUGAUGGCCUACCAAGGCGGUGACGGGUAGCCGGCCUGAGAGGGUGGACGGUCACACUGGGACUGAGGCACGGCCCAGACUCCUACAGGAGGCAGCAGUGGGGAAUAUUGCACAAUGGGCGCAAGCCUGAUGCAGCGACGCCGCGUGAGGGAUGGAGGCCUUCGGGUUGUGAACCUCUUUCGCCAGUGAAGCAGGCCUGCCUCGUUUGUGGGUGGGUUGACGGUAGCUGGAUAAGAAGCGCCGGCUAACUACGUG
rnacentral:rRNA from 1 species